rnacentral:rRNA from 1 species
GAUAAACGCUGGCGGCGUGCCUAAUACAUGCAAGUCGAGCGAACGGACGAGAAGCUUGCUUCUCUGAUGUUAGCGGCGGACGGGUGAGUAACACGUGGAUAACCUACCUAUAAGACUGGGAUAACUUCGGGAAACCGGAGCUAAUACCGGAUAAUAUUUUGAACCGCAUGGUUCAAAAGUGAAAGACGGUCUUGCUGUCACUUAUAGAUGGAUCCGCGCUGCAUUAGCUAGUUGGUAAGGUAACGGCUUACCAAGGCAACGAUGCAUAGCCGACCUGAGAGGGUGAUCGGCCACACUGGAACUGAGACACGGUCCAGACUCCUACGGGAGGCAGCAGUAGGGAAUCUUCCGCAAUGGGCGAAAGCCUGACGGAGCAACGCCGCGUGAGUGAUGAAGGUCUUCGGAUCGUAAAACUCUGUUAUUAGGGAAGAACAUAUGUGUAAGUAACUGUGCACAUCUUGACGGUACCUAAUCAGAAAGCCACGGCUAACUACGUGCCAGCAGCCGCGGUAAUACGUAGGUGGCAAGCGUUAUCCGGAAUUAUUGGGCGUAAAGCGCGCGUAGGCGGUUUUUUAAGUCUGAUGUGAAAGCCCACGGCUCAACCGUGGAGGGUCAUUGGAAACUGGAAAACUUGAGUGCAGAAGAGGAAAGUGGAAUUCCAUGUGUAGCGGUGAAAUGCGCAGAGAUAUGGAGGAACACCAGUGGCGAAGGCGACUUUCUGGUCUGUAACUGACGCUGAUGCGCGAAAGCGUGGGGAUCAAACAGGAUUAGAUACCCUGGUAGUCCACGCCGUAAACGAUGAGUGCUAAGUGUUAGGGGGUUUCCGCCCCUUAGUGCUGCAGCUAACGCAUUAAGCACUCCGCCUGGGGAGUACGACCGCAAGGUUGAAACUCAAAGGAAUUGACGGGGACCCGCACAAGCGGUGGAGCAUGUGGUUUAAUUCGAAGCAACGCGAAGAACCUUACCAAAUCUUGACAUCCUUUGACAACUCUAGAGAUAGAGCCUUCCCCUUCGGGGGACAAAGUGACAGGUGGUGCAUGGUUGUCGUCAGCUCGUGUCGUGAGAUGUUGGGUUAAGUCCCGCAACGAGCGCAACCCUUAAGCUUAGUUGCCAUCAUUAAGUUGGGCACUCUAAGUUGACUGCCGGUGACAAACCGGAGGAAGGUGGGGAUGACGUCAAAUCAUCAUGCCCCUUAUGAUUUGGGCUACACACGUGCUACAAUGGACAAUACAAAGGGCAGCGAAACCGCGAGGUCAAGCAAAUCCCAUAAAGUUGUUCUCAGUUCGGAUUGUAGUCUGCAACUCGACUACAUGAAGCUGGAAUCGCUAGUAAUCGUAGAUCAGCAUGCUACGGUGAAUACGUUCCCGGGUCU